rnacentral:tRNA from 1 species
GCCUGUGUGGCUCAGUUGGUUGAGCAUCUGACUUCAGCUCAGGCAUAAUCCCCCAGUUCAUGGGUUUGAGCCCUAUAUUGGGCU